UUAUAGUUUAAUGGGUAGUUGAACAUUAAUGAAGUAACCACAGUAACAAAUGUGAAUUACUAGUGAAGAAAAGUUCCCUGAAAGAAAAGGAUCCGAGUUUGUUCACUGAUGGAGAGGGGCACUUAGAGCAAGAUACCCGACCUUGACUGGGGACCAAGCACGAAAUCCCUAAGAGGUGACAGGAAGAGAGAAGUCUGAAACGUUAAGUGAGUUAACCAGGAUGGUGUCAGAAGUGGAAUCCAAAGAAGAGCUAACAACCCCCAGGAGCGCUGAGCGUGGUUCCCACUCGGCCCAUUGUGCCCAUUGCUCUCUUGGAGCAGCUGGGGAUCGUGGAGUUUCGCUCUUGUUUCCCAGGCUAGAGUACAAUGGCACAAUCACGGGUCACCGCAACCUCCACCCCCUGGGCUCAAGUGAUUCCCCUGCCUCAGCCUCCUGAGUA
rnacentral:lncRNA from 10 species